AAUAACUUUAUCAAGUAUGUAUCCCACCCUGGACCAGUGCUCCAGCGCUGAAGAGACCCUUUCCCAGUACUUUGACGACUGAUGCUCAAACCCUCUCACAGUGUAUCCAGAUCAGAAAUAAAGAAACAAGAUUGGUUGUUUCUCUUUGACAAAGUGCUUGCAAACCAUCAGUAAUAUCACAGAGAUCCCAGGCUGAUUUGUUAUAGAAAACCCUGAAGUGAAAGAGCCCUGGCAUAUCCACUGAUGAGAAUAUCUCAUUAUUUUUGCGAAGAAUGGAGCCACACUGUCCUCAGCCAAUGGAGAUCUGCAGUUCCCUUGGCAUCUUUCCAGCACUUACGUAAAUUGCAUCCCUGUGAAUACAGCCUCUGGAAAGCUCAAAUGAGAGCAAUGGAGCAAAACAGGAGCAGCUCCAAGACAGAGCAGUGGGCUGGGAAACACACCUGGAAACAGAACCUGCUGUCUUCAGUGAAGCCCAACCAGCCUUGCCGAGACAGUUUGAGACAGCACUGCCACUGCUGCCCUGUCCCUCUACCAGCUAUGUCUGUCACAGCAAAAGUGCCAAACCAGCUCUCAGUUACCCUCCAGUUUUAAGUGCCAAACAAGGCUGGUAUGAUAGGAUGAACAAGGCAAAUGUCAGAGAACAGAGACUGCUCAGAGAGUUUUGCCAGCUCAUCACUGAGGUGAUCCUCUCCAGCAAAAAAAAUGGCAGACAGUUCAGGAGAGGGACCUGAACUGCCGUGAACACUCACUGUCAACAGAGAGGGCUCGCCAGAGUAGGAGACCACUGAGAUGACAACUAUUAAAAAAAGAGACAGUUAAGAGAGAAGGAAAGAAAGGGGGGGAGGGGGGGGAAGGAGUAUGAGAAUCAACAGAAGACUAGGGAAGAGCAGAUAGGGAAAGGGAAGAAGGCAAGACAGAAUAGAAGUAAGGUUGUAUGGUAUGGAGAAGAGGUGUCAUCCCUUCAGCCUGAAAGUACAAUGG